AGAGUUUGAUCCUGGCUCAGAUUGAACGCUGGCGGCAUGCCUAACACAUGCAAGUCGAGCGGCAGCAUGAUGUGUAGCAAUACACAUUGAUGGCGAGCGGCGGACGGGUGAGUAAUGUAUGGGGAUCUGCCCAGUAGCGGGGGACAACCCGGAGAAAUCCGGGCUAAUACCGCAUACGCCCUACGGGGGAAAGCGGAGGACCGAAAGGCUUCGCACUAUUGGAGGAACCCAUACCCGAUUAGCUAGUUGGUGAGGUAACGGCUCACCAAGGCAAUGAUCGGUAGCUGGUCUGAGAGGAUGGCCAGCCACACUGGAACUGAGACACGGUCCAGACUCCUACGGGAGGCAGCAGUGGGGAAUCUUGCGCAAUGGGCGAAAGCCUGACGCAGCGACGCCGCGUGGGGGAUGAAGGCCCUAGGGUUGUAAAGUCCUUUCGACGGGGAAGAUAAUGACGGUACCCGUAGAAGAAGCCCCGGCUAACUUCGUGCCAGCAGCCGCGGUAAUACGAAGGGGGCUAGCGUUGCUCGGAAUCACUGGGCGUAAAGCGCACGUAGGCGGCUUUUUAAGUCAGAGGUGAAAUCCUGGAGCUCAACUCCAGAACUGCCUUUGAUACUGGAAGGCUUGAGUCCGGGAGAGGUGAGUGGAACUGCGAGUGUAGAGGUGAAAUUCGUAGAUAUUCGCAAGAACACCAGUGGCGAAGGCGGCUCACUGGCCCGGUACUGACGCUGAGGUGCGAAAGCGUGGGGAGCAAACAGGAUUAGAUACCCUGGUAGUCCACGCCGUAAACGAUGGAUGCUAGCCGUUGUCGGGUUUACUCGUCAGUGGCGCAGCUAACGCAUUAAGCAUCCCGCCUGGGGAGUACGGUCGCAAGAUUAAAACUCAAAGGAAUUGACG
rnacentral:rRNA from 1 species